CAAGGAGAGAGGAAACUGUAGGG
rnacentral:piRNA from 1 species